AUGCAGUCGAGCGAAUGGAUUAAGAGCUUGCUCUUAUGAAGUUAGCGGCGGACGGGUGAGUAACACGUGGGUAACCUGCCCAUAAGACUGGGAUAACUCCGGGAAACCGGGGCUAAUACCGGAUAACAUUUUGAACCGCAUGGUUCGAAAUUGAAAGGCGGCUUCGGCUGUCACUUAUGGAUGGACCCGCGUCGCAUUAGCUAGUUGGUGAGGUAACGGCUCACCAAGGCAACGAUGCGUAGCCGACCUGAGAGGGUGAUCGGCCACACUGGGACUGAGACACGGCCCAGACUCCUACGGGAGGCAGCAGUAGGGAAUCUUCCGCAAUGGACGAAAGUCUGACGGAGCAACGCCGCGUGAGUGAUGAAGGCUUUCGGGUCGUAAAACUCUGUUGUUAGGGAAGAACAAGUGCUAGUUGAAUAAGCUGGCACCUUGACGGUACCUAACCAGAAAAGCCACGGCUAACUACGUGCCAGCAGC
rnacentral:rRNA from 2 species